UACGGGGGGGGCAAGCGUUGUUCGGAAUUACUGGGCGUAAAGGGCUCGUAGGCGCCAACUAAGUCAGACGUGAAAUCCCUCGGCUUAACCGGGGAACUGCGUCUGAUACUGGUUGGCUUGAGUGUGGGAGAGGGAUGCGGAAUUCCAGGUGUAGCGGUGAAAUGCGUAGAUAUCUGGAGAACACCGGUGGCGAAGGCGGCAUCCUGGACCAUUACUGACGCUGAGGAGCGAAAGCCAGGGAGCAAAGCGGG
rnacentral:rRNA from 1 species